UCACACUUUCCUUUAUCUCUCUACCUCUCUUGUCUCCCUCUAUUCUAUCAUCAUCACUCCUACUUCUUUCUAGACCACCACCCUUCUGACCACCCUCUAAACCUCUCCGACCACCACACGCAUCCCUGAACCACCGUCUAACUGACCGCCACCUUCAUUGGUGUUCAUCAUAUGAUGAAUACCCAACAAAAAUCUUCAACCAAACAUGAACCCUAGCCUUAGAAGCCAAAACUCUAAGAACCCUAAACCUAAACACAUGAACCCUAACAAACCAAUACCUUAAACAUAUCAAAUUUGAUGAACCCUAACCAUCCAUAAGAACCUUAAUCCUACUUCAACGACUCAAACUCAGAAACAACCAUGAAAGUUCAUCAUCCUAAUGAACAUUCAUCUUAAACCUUCGCCCUCAAACCGUAAUCCACCCAGAAACUAACCUAACCUACCUAAACCAUAGAUCAGUUCAUCCUAAACCCAAAUCCAACCCUUAAAUCCUAAAACCAAACCAAACUUCUCAAACCCUAAAGGUCAACCCAUUAUUUUGUCUACCCUAAAUUGAACCUAACUCUAACCCAAAUCACUUCAAAACCAAAAAAAUCCAAAAAAAGAUAAUUAUAAACAACAAAACCCUUUCUCAAAUAAACAAAUACAAUAACGAUUCAAGCAUGCAAAGCAACAACAAAAUCUACAACAACGUAUGGAAGAAGACCAAUCUACGUGAGGGUCGCUUCCCCCGGUAUGAAAAAAGGUCUUGCUAUGAAGUUUUGAGGCUUUAAGAUUGAUGCUGGAGAUUUUAGGGUUUAGGAUUGUUAUUCUUCAAUGUGAAGAACAACAACUUUUAGGUAUAUUAUUUGUGAAUUGUGAAUGGUGUUUCUCUGUAUCUUAGAUUUAUUUUUAUAGUGAUAAUUCAGGUUUAGAAUUUAAGUCAGAUUGAUUAGUUUUAGGAAAAUUUAGUUGUUGAUUUGUUAGUAUUAGGUAGAUUCAAAUAUUUGACUUUGUUGAUAUUUUGA